UGGAAAUACAUACACUCCCUUUCUUGAUAAAUGUUCAAGUGUGUAUGUGUACUACUUUGUAUUCAGAAUAACAACAAAACAUGAAUAAAAUCGAAUAUGUUGAUGCCAGAAAAUGUAAAACAUAUGAAUGUAUCUAACAUACUGCAUAUACAUGAAUAUGAGUGCAUUUUCGGAUGCCAGAAAAUGUAAAACAUAUGAAUGUAUCUAACACACUGCAUAUACAUGAAUAUGAGUGCAAUUUCGGCACUUAAAACAUCUGUGCAUAGGUACCAUCUAUGAGGAAAGUGGUAGUUACCAGCAUUUAGUUACCAUACAAAAAGAAGUGAUCAAGCUUCCCAAAAGAAAAUUGAACAUAAGUUAUUUCUAUACAGUUUUAAUAUUAUAUCAUCUCACAAAACAACUUCUUAAUUUGCACC
rnacentral:lncRNA from 1 species